UUGUGUUCUCCAUAUUUUUAUAAUGACAGUCUACUGGGAAUUGUGUCCAGAAGCAGCAGCACAUUAUUGAAUAUUUUCUUUCCCAUCUGUCUUGCCUCCAUCUUCAAUCAAUCAAUCAAUCAAAGAAAGGAAGAAAGGAAGGACGGAAGGAAGGAAGGAAGGAGAAGGAAAGAAAGANUCUUGCCUCCAUCUUCAAUCAAUCAAUCAAUCAAAGAAAGGAAGAAAGGAAGGAAGGAGAAGGAAAGAAAGAAAAGAAAGAAAGAAAGAAGAAAGGACGGAAGGAAGGAAACAUUCCUUAUGUUACUAAAGAAAUGGAGGAUUCUAUUUCCUGAAAUACCUAGAGUAUUUGCCAGAAACAUGACACAAUGCAUAGAAGGAAAUUUAGAAGAUUACAUGGAUUGCCCCCUCCUGUUCCCUGAGGAAGUAUGCAGCCAUAAUGCUGAAGCGCUGCUAAAUGCAAUAAGGCAAAAAUCAUCACGGCUUGAUGGCACCAGAGUGCCAGCGCUUUGGAUAAAGAAUUAUCCCACUAACACAGCAUGAACCAGCCAAAAGGAAAAAGAAGAAAACAAUCCACAAACUCACGGUGUAUUUAUUUUUUAUGAUUCUAAGAAUCUUUAUUUAAAAAAGAUAAAAUGGGAAUCAUUGGAUGAGUAUAUUUGAAGGUGGGAAUCUCAGAGGCAAUUUGGAUCAGCUAUAGUUUGUGUGCUGGUCCUUGCCAUGGGGUUAUUGAACUGAAAGGCAAACAUAUAUUGUCCACCAACUUCAACCUGUAUUUCCACUCUUUGAUUUGUUCUUUGUAACAGAAGCUAUGAUUUUAAAAUAAGGUUUCUCUAAUUGAAAAUUUUUAAAAAAUGAGUUGAAUGAGUUCUGGGUCUAAAGUAUAAGGAGAAAAACAUCUUUUCUCUUGAAGGCGCAACAGAGGUUAUAAUAAAUAUUAAAUAUUUAUGUUGUGUGUGUAGCA
rnacentral:lncRNA from 1 species